rnacentral:rRNA from 1 species
UACGUAGGUGGCAAGCGUUGUCCGGAUUUACUGGGCGUAAAGGGCGUGCAGGCGGUCUGUUAAGUUCAGGGUGAAAGCUCCCGGCUCAACUGGGAGAGGUCCUUGGAUACUGGCAGACUUGAGGGAGGUAGAGGAGAGUGGAAUUCCCGGUGUAGUGGUGAUAUGCGUAGAUAUCGGGAGGAACACCAGUGGCGAAGGCGGCGACCUGGACGGACAUUGACGCUGAGACGCGAAAGCGUGGGGAGCAAACAGG